rnacentral:misc_RNA from 1 species
UAAAAGAAAACUAAACUUUCUAUAACUACAGCACUCCCUUACAAACAUGGGGUUAAAUUGACAUUUACUUUUCAAAAGUUUGUCGUCCAGUUGAGAUGACCCAAUUGAGGCUGCUGAUAAGCACCAACUUGUGCCCCUGGUGCAGCCGGGGCAACCCCAACUCCAACAUUACCACCCAAAACUGGACCCAAAUGAUGUGGAUUUGCCAUUGCGGCAGGUGUUGGAGGAGGGG